CUUGGUCAUUUAGAGGAAGUAAAAGUCGUAACAAGGUUUCCGUAGGUGAACCUGCGGAAGGAUCAUUAACAAAUCGUUUGUAGACUCUAGAUUCGUCUAGACGACACAACAUAAACCCGAACCUGUGCAGCAAUGCCAGGCAAGGUGUACGGUCGAGAGGCCGUACGGGAAAAGAUCCUUGCUCCCUUUUGGGGGGCGGGAUUGGAUCCCAAAUAGACGCUUGUAUGUUUGACAGAGUAUAGUUGACACUUUAAAAAUGACAACUUUUAACAAUGGAUCUCUUGGCUCUUGCAACGAUGAAGAACGCAGUGAAAUGCGAAACGUAAUGCGAUUUGCACGAAUCUGUGAGUCAUCAAGUCUUUGAACGCACCUUGCACCAUAUGAGCAAUUGUAUGGUAUACCUGUUUGAGAAUCGUAAAACAACCAUCACUCUAUUUUAUAGAGUGGAAUUGUCGGAUUCACAAAACGUGUUCGAUCAAAUGAAUUAGGUUUGGAUCAGGCUAGUGGCCUGAGACACUGUGUGCUAGAGACUUAAGAAGCCUUUGCGGGCUGAUUGUCUUCUCACGGUGCGUCUCGGGUCAAUUUAAAGCUGGCCUGCAAAGGACCUUUAACUGCGCCAAUGCCUUGUGCAUUGGGCAACCCCCAAAUCAUUGAUCUCAAAUCAGGUAAGGCUACCCGCUGAACUUAAGCAUAUCAAUAAGCGGAGGA
rnacentral:rRNA from 1 species